UUGCUGUGGCAACCCUAAGGCAUAGUUAGAAAUUUAACUUCUCCCAAUUAAUUUUAAUAAAAAUAAUUGAUAAAUCAUUUAAUUUAGUGUUAAUAUCGAAUUAAUUAAGUAAAAUACAUUAAUAGAAUCUUAUGUUAUAAAAUAAUUAACAGUGUUAUUGUGUAAUAAGUUUAUUUUUAUAUAACUUUAGUUUUGUGCAUCUCCCGUGAUACGUCAGCAAAAUGAUGACCCGAGAAAACAAAGCCCGCCAAACCGAGAAACAGCUCCAGCUAACCCUUGUGGAGCUAAAAAAGUACAAGGGUCAGUACAAACAGCUACUAAAAGAAAGGGAUGACAACGAAAUGGAGGUUAUAGACAUUAUAAAUAAAAAUAAAAAAUUAAAAACUGAUCUAUGUCAAUUGCACAUGGAAAACUCAAAGUUAAUAGAGGAAAAUAAAAACUUGCCAGCAGUGGUCAGUGAGUUUGAGCAGGAAAGAAAUCAAUUGAAAAUACAAGCUUAAGAACUCUGUAUAGAUUUGGAAAAUAUCAAAAAAGACUUUGAGGAAAGUGUGAGCUUUCUUCAGGCUGAGUUACUAGCCUUACAUCAAAAUCUGGAUCAUGUCAAAACAAUACCAGAUUUCACAGAAAGACAUAGCCGAACACAAAGACAAUCUCGCAAACUCUUCACAUAAGAAACAUAUUAAGAUUUAUAGCGAUGACCAUGGAAGAAAUAUGGGGUUGAUUUUGCAUAAAAUUAGUAACAGGCAGUUAGUAUCAAACUUUUGCAUGCCAGGGGCAAGUUACUAUCAAAUUAUAAAAAGAAUUCUUAGUGAUACUGCUCUAAUACUUCUAUUAUUGUUAUGAUUGGGAGAAGAGGGAAAUUAAAUAAAAAUGUUCUACAAAAAUUAUUCAAUGAGUAAAUAGUUUAAAAAUAGAAAAUCUUAUAAUAUUCACACUGCCAUUUAUACAAGAUUUGCCACAGGAAAACAAAGCAAGAGACAAUUAGAAUAAUAUGUAAACCCUAUUGUCUCAUACAAAUUAUGUGACAUAUAAUGGUAAUUUAUUAUGUAGUAACAUACACAUAAUUGAUAUUAAUAAUAUAAUUAAUCAUGAAUGUAAAAUGUUGACAUUUAAUAGGUUACACCUAUCUAAUUUUUAUAAAAGACAGAUAGCUAAAUCGCUUUCUUUUUAUUUAUCUUAUAACACAGCCAAGUAUUUGGCAACCCGGUCCCCUGCUUCUAUUGAGCAGUGUAAUAGCUUGUUGCACUUGGCUCCUGUUAAGCAAAGUAAUUAUUUGAUUAACACUGCUUCUAUUGAGCAGUCUUAUAGUUUAGUUUCUGGUUUGGAAUAUGUUCCAAAUUAUUUAAAUUAGUCAAUAAGACAAUAGGAGACUCCUCUAGCAAUAUAAAUACACAAUGUACAAGUACUAGUAAACAUAAUAAUUGUAAAGUCAUAAACCUGAUGCACCAAAAUAUGCAAGGAUUGUUAGGUAAAGAACUGGAACUGGAGUUACUAAUGAACCAUGAAAAUAUUGAUAUCUUAUGUCUUACCGAACACUUAGAAAAAAUGAACUCAUUUUUAACUCCAGUGGUCAUAGGGUGGCAAGUGUGUUUAGCAGAGAAAAGGCAACAUGUGGCGGCUCUCUUAUACUUAUAAGUAAAUCAUUUAAAUUGAAAGACUGUAAAGGUAUUGUGGGCCUCUCUGUUGAACAUACCAUUGAAAAAGCCUAUGCAGAGCUUGAGUGUGCCAUUGUUGUAAGUAUAUACAGGCCCCCCGAUGCAUUAAAUGAGUUAUUUGAGGAUGUAUUGGAGGAGGUUCUAUCAAAAUUAUCAGAAUCUUAGAAAUAAAUUAUGAUUUGUGGUUACUUUAAUAUUAAAUUAUUAGAAAAAUCCACCACAAGUAUUAGAUUCAAA